rnacentral:lncRNA from 1 species
CAUAAUGAUAGAUUAGUGUGAGUGAUUUUAAAAGUAUACAUAUUAUUGGCAGUUCAGGUAAGAAGAAUUUUUUGUUUUUGCUUUUCCUAAGAUGCUGCUGCAUUUGUAUAUGAUUUUCCAGGUUUCUAGGCAGGUUGUUUUCUGUAGGACUAAAUUCAAAUGGCUAAUUUUAAAUUACCUACUAAAAUCUGUGACAAAUUUAUUGUUACAUUUUUGUUUAUUAAAUCUUUUCUUUCUCUUUCAGCAAAUAGUAGUGAUAGUGAAGAACUUUCAGCUGGUGAAAGUAUAACUAAGAGUCAGCCAGUCAAAUCAGUUUCCACUGGAAUGAAGUCUCAUAGUACCAAAUCUCCCGCAAGGACGCAGUCUCCAGGAAAAUGUGGAAAGAAUGGUGAUAAGGAUCCUGAUCUCAAGGAACCCAGUAAUCGAUUACCCAAAGUUUACAAAUGGAGUUUUCAGAUGUCGGACCUGGAAAAUAUGACAAGUGCCGAACGCAUCACAAUUCUUCAAGAAAAACUUCAAGAAAUCAGAAAACAUUAUCUGUCAUUAAAAUCUGAAGUAGCUUCCAUUGAUCGGAGGAG